UUUGGAUAGAAAUUGGAAAUCGCUUUGGUCAAGAGAAUAUACACAUUUGAGCGGUUUUGUUGCAGUAGAUAAUACUUUUGAACUAAUUUAUUCAUUUGUUAACUUUUUUUUUUUUUUUUUUUUUUUUUGGUUUGUGAACCAAAUAAUAUUAAACGAGUUCAAACGGCCUCCAGAGAGGGAUUACAAUCUCAAAGGGCAGAUUUAGCUAAGGCAUCCGCCGAAGCAUUCUCAGACCUUGGAAUGUGAUGAAAGUAAAUUGAUAACAGAGAUGAAGCUAGAGAGUAAAUAUCAUCUAGUAAACGAUUGAUCUCAUUGACGUGGCCUCCGGAAUUGAGAAGUUGGAUUAGAACUAAACAUUAAUUGUAGCAUGUUAUUUAGAAAAAUAGUACUCCAAUAUAGUUAUGUUGAUGUGUUGGUUCCACAACGAAACAACAUGUCCUCAGCAACACAACUUGGUUAAUUACUAGAUUUUCCGUCUUCUUUCUUUUUCUCCAUUUGAUUUCCUUCAUUUAUGUGUACGUCCGUCUCCUAUAAUUUAUACUACAGAGAAAGCUUAUUUGCCUCGAUUAUAUGACCCUUUGGUUUUUAUGUGCUUAUAGAAGCUUUUAAACUUCUGAAUCUGCGACAUUAAAAAUAAAGGAGAAGAAAUAUAUAAUUUUAUCUUUAGUCUGCAAUAGUUAUUUAUGUGUUAGUUGAUUGCUAUGUUUAGUGCAACCGGUGGUGUAGACUAUAUGAAUACGUGUUUCCACAAUAAGUUAGCGAGCACAAUAAGUGGCGAACCAAGUGGCGUGAGUCAUAUAUUAUACGAAAAAGAUGUACGUACUACCGAACAUAACUCUUUAGUGGUAUGUGAUAAUUCAACAAAAACGAUUAUAUAUAUGGUAAUCUCUCGACAACAAAAAAAAAAAGAUAAUUUCGAUGUAUAUUUUCCGAAAUAAAUGAUGCAUAAGUUUAUUAAAUUUACGUGGAAGUUAUGUAUAUGUGUAUCAAAGUUUGUAAUAAAAGGCUUGCAUAAUAAUAUAAAGGAGAUCCUAAUUAACAAGUAACAAAACCUGUGGUUGUACAAUGGCAAAUUAUGGUUGAUGCAUAGUUAUAUACGUAGAAGAUGAUACAGUUCGUAUCUUUUCAUCUACAUUUUUGGCUUUUAUUUUACCCAAGCAAAAAAAAAAUUAACCGCUAUACAUUUAACCGUUAAGUCAACUAUAUAUAUAUAUAUAUAUAUAUAUAUAUUUCUUUUGUAUCGCUUGUAAUAUUUUAAAUUAUUCUCUUAUCAGAUACAAUUUAGUUUUCUUAAGAUCAUUAGAUCAUUUAGCAAAGUUCCCAAUACAUGUCCAAUGUAAAGAAAGUUGGUGGCCAUUUAUUGAUGCGUUAGUAGAUUAUUUUGUAAAGGUGUUCUAAUAGAGAUUAUUAAACUUUAUAAAAGAAAACAAAAUAAACAUUACAAAACUAAACAAUAAGCAUUACAUUAUAUGGAUGUAUUAUUUCGCCCGAGGGAGAAUCAUGAAUAUAUUGUCCAGUGUCCACUAAUCCCAAGUGGUUGAAAGUUUGGUUCGCAUGCAGGUUUCUAUUUUUGGACGUCCAAAAGAAUCUAGAGAGAAAAAUAUAUGUAGAUGAGAUAGUUUCUUUAUCUAUAUUUUAUAAUUAAAAUUAUGUAAACCCAAAAAAAAAACGAAGGUUUAGCACUUUUAUACAAACAUUAUCUUUGUAAUUCAUAAAAGUUAACCUCGCUAAUUAACGAAACUGAAACCCCACUAACAAAAUAAACCCUACUACAAGAUAAUGGUCGAGUAAUAAAAUAAAAUAAACCCUCGCUCCUCCGCAAGGUAGCUACGCACUCAACCAUCUACAACAUCUGGCGUAAUCGAAACAACGUCUUGCACAACGAUCAAAGGCUUCCCACUUCAGUCAUCUUCAAGGUUAUUGAUAAAGAGGUUCGCAACACCAUCUACGGAAGACGACGAAGAAAGCGCUGGAAAACUCUUAUGGGUCUAUGGCUUAGAUAAGACUUGUCCUCUUUUUUCCUAAAUUAUUGUAACCUUGUUUUUUAUUCUUUUUUUGCCAAGGUUAUUUUUGUUUUCAUAGGUUUUUGCUUUGCUGUAAAACCUAAACCUUCAUUUUUAAAUGAUAUUUACAAGUUUAGCAAAAAGAAAAGAUAAUGGUCGAGUUUGAAGCACAACAAGAAUGGAGAGUUUGUCGACACUGAUUCUACUUCUAAGUAUCCUCCUCACUCCACUAUGAAGAGUGUCAGUGAUCACAUUGACGAUACAGGUACAUUUCUUCUUACUUUACUCUGGAAUGUAUUUGAGUUCCGACGGUGAUCUUAUCGACUACGUCAGGAGAGAAGACGAAAUAGCUUUUCGUCAUUCUUUUUUCAAAAACCAUCUACUUCAGGUUAAUUUUUCAAAAAAAAAAUCUCGUUUAACAGAAAUUAACGAGAGAAAAAAAUUAUGAAUGUGUUUUAUGUGACGGGGAAAAAAUUAAUCAUGUUUGUGUUGCUGUUUUCUUCUUUUGUAAAAAACUGAUACAUGAAAGACCAAUAUACAUGUCAUAUACGGUGAAAAGAGAAGACGAUGCAAUAUACGGAUGGCAAGUCUGGCACAAGAACACGACAAAUUUUUUGGAGGAAUCAAUUCCAGUACGUAGACUGAUUUCUCAUCCGAACUAGACUAUCAGUUCUCACGCCGUGGAUAUAGUCACCAAUGGACAUGAGAUACAUAUUCUUUAUUAGUUAUCUUUUUUGGUGAGCUUAAAUUACAAAUUCUAUAAGCAGCCUUUCAUUUUAGUUGGUUCUAAUUCUUUUUUUUUUUGAGUUUAUAAUCAACAAACUCUUAAUCGACUGCCCUAAAGAGAGGAGACCAAAUAACAUAACCAAAAGAAAAAAUCUGAAAAAAAUCAAGCAAGAUAAUAGAAUCGUAUACAAUUGAAAAAUGGUGACAAUUAUAAAUGGUAUACAGUUGAGAAACAAGUGAUAAUAUUCAUAUCUAUAUUUGUUAUUUAAUUUCUUAUGUUUUGCUUAUAUUUUACUUAUGUUUUGCUUAUAUUUUACUUAUGUUUUGGUUUUCCUUAUAAAAAGAAUCAUUAAUAACCUAUAUCAAUCUUUUACAAUUAUGAAACAUCUUACCACCAUAUAUGGCUAAUCAAAUCCAAUUAUUUUUGGAGACGCUUAAUUCUACCUCACCAAUAAGAUGUAGAAGAUUAGAUUAUUCAUAUUAUCUCAUAUAUAUUUUGUAAUCAAUAUAUGAAUAUAUAUACACAAAUGUAAGAUGAAUAUAUAUUUUGUAUUUCAAGAGUUGGUAAUGUUAAAUUAUUACUAGAGUGAGGUUAUAAAAAGAGUGAGGAUCGAAGUCCAUUUACGUAUGAUUAAGAAUACGUUUUAAUAAUAUGCAGAUUUCAAGAGAAAAUUACUUAUUAUCAUAAACUGUUUUCUUAUUUCAUUACAUUUUUUUGCAAAAAAAAAAGAUUCGCAUUAAGUCAACGGAAGUUUGUGAAAAAUCAAUAAAAAUAAGAUCAUCACAAGUACAAAUUAUGUUGUUUCGCCAUAUUUUGUAAAUUCAUUACUUUUAACAUUUUCCCAUUUUGUUUGUUAACAAAUAAAUGACUACUUGAAUAGGAGUAACAUAAAGAUUCCACUCACUCGUAAAAAGUGGACAAGAUAAAAUUAUUAUGAUAUAUGCAUAUCAUUAAUAUUCCAUCUGUUUUACUAAAAAUGUUAUUUUGACAAUUGACAUAUUUCACACAAAUUUUUUAAAACGUUAAUAUAUAUAUAUAUAUAUAUGCUCUUAUUUAAUAAGUGAUUUAUGAGUUUAAUUAAAGAUAAAAUUAAAUUUUUUUUUUGUAAAUUAACAAUAUAUUAAAAAAUAUAGAAUGAUAUUUUUGUGAAAUAAAAAUAAAACUCUAAAAUGACAUUUUAAUACAUUCUAAUAAUAUGAAAUAUUGAGUUAUUGAUCGUCAGAGGUUAUAAAAAGAGUUGUGAUGAAGUCCAUCAUUGUUAUACAUAUAUGUACGUAUGAUUAAGAAUAUGCUUUAUAAUAUACAGAUUUCAAGAGAAAGUUACUAAUUAUUAAUUAUUUUUUUUUUUUUAUUGCAUUUAUUUGUGAAAAUAAGAUUCAAAUUAAGCACAAUAACUUAGAGAAAACAAAUGCAACGGUAGAAUCAUCAAUUUUGAGAGAUAAGUUUGAACUACAUUUGGCAACAACAAGACACGGGACAUGGAAUACAAGGAGAACCGCAGUCUCCACCUUUCUUAAAUCCAGCUUUGAUACAAUCUCUCAUACAUUCAUCACGUCCGUAGAAUUCUGAACAAUGAGUACUGCAGUUGUCAAAUGAGAAAUUUUCCUUUCCUGCAUCCAUACAAAUCCACACAUAUAAAUUAAAUACAAUUGAUGCAAAUAUGUGUAUAUUUAAUAUAACAUUUCAAUAAAAAGAUAGUUAAAUAUAUCAUGUCCGAAUAAUAUAAUGUGUUAACGGAACUUUUGAAUGUAUGUUUACAUAUAUACUACAACAGAAAAAAUGGUCAUUACAAAGUCUAUACAUAUAUUUUAAAUUUAGCUUUUGAAAUCAUCACUACUAAUUAUCUUUUAAAAGGCUAAAUUAAAACGAAAAUAUACCUGAAGCCAAAACAUUUUGGUUAAACAAUGAAACUGCAAGUGUUAUUGCAAGGAAACAAGUCACCAAAGUUUUAGUACUACCCAUAGUAAUUUUUUCUGUAUGUGAACUCUGUUGAGGAACUCAGAUGUUUUUUUUUGUUUCAGAUCUUAUAUAUAUAUUGAAUCUAUUUAUAUAAAUUUCCUGGUCUUCAAAAUUUAUUACUAUUAUUAAUUGAGUUUACAUCUUUUUGGUCAAAGCUCUUUUAUAUUUUUGGUAAAGAUCAUUUACAUUUACGAAUAUGUAAAUAAUUACAGUUAAUGAUCAUAAUGAGAAGUUAAGAUUUCAAAGACUUUUUAACAAGUGUGAAUAUUAGUCAAAGACUACUUUGUUGGAUAUAUUAAUUUAAAUGCAAAAAUUAGUUUCAUAAUUUAAUAUUGGGAAAUUUUGUUUAUAAUUAGGUAUAUGGUAUAAAUGUGAUCAGAUUUUAGAAUGGAUAUGGAAAAAAGAAAUUCAAAUGAAAACUACAUAUUAUAUGUAAAAUCAUUAACUUUUUUUUUCUUUUCUUUUUUGGUUAAAGGUAAAAUCAUUAACUUUUUUUUUGUGGCAGAGGUGUUAAACCCAAAUAAACCAAUCUGAUCCGAUCUUAACCAAAACAAAAUAUUCAGUCGAAAAACUGAACCAAUUCACCACAACAAUAGGACUAUAGGAGUAACCCUAUCCUCCCUUGUCCCCCUAGUCUAGUUAUCAAGUCCUUUGUUGAUGCAAUCUCUUUUUCUACAUAUCCUUAAAUUUGACACACUGGUCUCUAACAUUAUGCAUUGAGAUAUUGAAACUUCCUAGAUACACUAAUUUUACCAAUUAGCACAUAUCUUCUCAAGAAAAGCUGCCAAGUCUUGUUUGUCCAAAUCACCCUUAGCACAGAACUAUUCAAUAGUUCUAUAAUCAAUGAAAGGGAACUAAAGAAUAUUCAGUGAAAACAAGAGUAUACUAUCGUCAAGUUGUUCCCGUUGUUUCUACUCUAUCAUCAAGUUGAGAAAUUAAUAUACUAUCAAGAGUAUUUUACUCUCUUUUACUUAGUAGUAUUCUUAAUCUUAUAUUAGUUUAGAAUAUACAGUGUACACUUGUAUAUAAAAAACAUUGUGUACACAUUUACUAAUUAAUAAAAAUAGUCACAACUUUAUCAAUCUCUCUCUAGCUCUUCGUCUUCUUCAUCUUGUUUCUGUUAGAGAGUUUGUGAGAUCUCAUGAUUUGUAUGAAGCAAGAAUCAUGCCUUCUAUUCUAACAUAAAUCUCUCGACUUCUCUCCAUCCCCCUCAUCAUCAAAACCCAUAUGCAUGCUCCUUUCUCCAUUUCCAUGAAAGAUCCCGAAAAGAGUGGGCGUAUUAUCCAAACAAGCGUACAUACAUACUCUUCUCAUUUUCUGUAUCAGAGAACUUGGAGGAAGUCUCAAAAUACAUUUAUUACGGUUUCGAGGACUAUACCUUCUUCAUUGCAUAGCGCAAAAGCAUUUCGUAUUUCUCCUCUGCCUUAAAGUAAAAGUAUAAAAACCUUGGGAACAUGGCGCUCUCGUGCAUGCAUUGCUCAGGCUCUCUCCAUUAAUGAAUUGUGGAACUUGGAGAGUACUCUCUUACACUUGAAUGAAUACAUCUUUUAGAAAAUCAAUCUUCACUCGAAACCUUAUUGUUUUGGUAUCAACUAUUAUUAUUAUUACAGAAUACGUAUGUAUGGUACGACGUCAUAUAUACACGGAAGUGAUUGCUAAUUACCUAUAUAUUACAUUAUCUUCAAAAAUAUAUAAUUUUUGUAUUGCAAUAUAUAUAAAAGAUUGCAAAUUUGCAAUGGUUAUUAAAUGUUCUGGAUAAUUGGCUAGUGUCCAGAUCAGUGGGUUUGCCGGUUUAAUUAAUUAACCAAGCGAUCGAGACGAUUAAGUCUAGAGUUCUCUAUAUAAAAUUGAUAGGCAAAUUAGUUAUGGUGUCCAAAAUCAUAUAAUCUCUUCUGUCAUUAUUUACUUUAGUAAAGUCACCAACCAAUAAUUAUUUGUUUAAAUAAUGAUUUUCUAAUUUCAAUCUUUAAUUGUAAAUUUUGACUAAAUCUCCCCAUGUUCAUCUUCAUCUUCAAAAAUAAUAAUACACUAUAAUAGUAAUAUGAUAAUAUUGAGUUAUUGCUAGUGAAAGGGCAUAAAAAGAGUUUUGAUGAAGUCCCUACACAUAUCAAGAGAAAUUAUUUAUUAUUAUAAACUGUUUUUUUUUAUUUAUUUAUUCCAUUGCAUUUAUUUGUAAAAACAAGAUACAAAUUAAGUCCAAUAACUUAGAGAAAAUAAAUGCAACGUUAGAAUCAUUAAUUUUGAGGGGAGAGGAUAUAUAAGUUUGGAUUACUUUUGACAGCAACAUUUCAAAGGUUCUGAAAAAAGAAGAUGAGCACACACUCCACCUUUAAACCCAGCUGUAAUACAGUAGUUCUCACAUUCAACCUUUCCAUAACACCGAGGAUGGCAGUGGUCAAAUGAUAAGUUUUCAGUUCCUGCAAGUCCACAUAUAUAUAUUUAAAUAUAGCUUUUGAAAUGAUCACUACUAAUUUUCAAAAUAUAAAACAAACUUUACAUAUACCUGAAACCAAAACGUUGUGGUUAGACAUCGAUACUGCAAGUAUUAUUACAAGGAAACAAGUCACCAAAGUUUUUGUGAUACCCAUAGUAAUUUUUUCAAUGAACUCUAUUGAGUAAUUCAAAUGUUUAUAUUUUUUAGAGAUUAAUUCAGUUUAUAUAACUCUUGGUCUUAACUUUUUUUUUUUUUAUUACCUCUUUUUUUCUGUCAAAGUUGUUUUUUUUUUUUGUGACAAAGAAUCAUUUACAUUUAAGAAUAUGUAAAUAUGACAGUAAACGAUCAUAAUGAUAAUUUAAUAUUUGAAAAAGUGUAUGACACUUGUGCAUAUAUAUGGUCAAAGAGAAUCUGUUGGAUACAUUGUCAUUAUGAUUAAUCAAUAUCUUAAGUUAAAUGCUAGAUUUUAUUUCAUAUUUGAACGUUGGAAUUUUUUUUAUUUAAUUAGGUAUAGAUUUUCUUUCCAAAAUUGGUAUCCAAAAAAGAAAUUGAAAUGAAAUGUAUAAAUUAUUAACUUACUUUCGUUUUUUUUUGUUUGUGAAAGGUAGAAUCAUUAAUCAUUAUGUUAUUUACGUGUCAUUAAUAUACGUUUUAUAAUAUAGAUUUCAACCAAAAAUAACUCAUUGCAGUAAAUAAUUUUCAAAUAUCAUUGCAUUUAUUUGUAAAAUCAAAAUAAAGAUCAUUAAGUCCAAUAAGUACUUAGAGAAUCCACAGCUUUUGAGAAAGGGAAUAUAAAAAGUCUGAAUUACUUUUGGCAACAACAUCUUUUGGGCUCUUUAGGAGAAGGAGAAGCACAGUCUCCACCAUUGUUGAAGUCAGCCAAGUAACAAUCAGUCAUGCACUCAAACCAUCCGUAUUUAGGCGUACACAAAGUGCUGCAGUUGUCAAAUGAGAAUUUCCUUUUGCUCUCUGCAUCUACACAAUUUGUACUAAAUGUCACAAAGUGUAACACAAAUGUCACAUAAAAAUAUAACUCUUAAACAAAAAAUCGAUGUAAACAUGUGCGUCUCUAAAUCUUAUACUAACAGACCCAUAACAGACGAUUGUAUUGAUAACUAUACGAUUGUAUAACAUGUCUAAACAAUAGAAUUUUAACCAAAAAAAAAUUAAAGUUUACCUGAAGCCAAAACGUUGUGGUUAGACAACAAAACUGCAAAUAUUAUUACAAGUAAACAAGUCAUCAAAGUUUUUGUAUUACCCAUAAUAUAUAUUUUUUUUUGUAUUAGAUGUUUUUAGAAAUUGAGAUGAUUUUAACCUUUUGAUCUGAAAGAUAGGCUCUAUUUAUAUUACUUUUUGGUCUUCUGAUUUUAUUUAUUAUCAAUGAUUUUCCAUAAUUGUAAGUCAAAUUUGUAUUAUUUUUGGGGAAAAAAAUAUUUGAAUAAAGGAUUUUGCAAUUUUAGCAAUACAUGUAUUUGAAUAAAUGCUUGACUUGUAUUUUUUUAGCAAUACAGUUUUUUGAAUAAAUCAGAGAGAAACUAAAUUUCAAAUAAUGUUCAAGAUUUACUGCAACAAUGUUAAUUUUUUCUAAAGUGGUAUAAGUUUUAUUUGAUAUCAACACUGAUAUCGAAGAACAAACUGAAACAAAAACUACAUACAGUAUAUAUGUAAAAUACUAUAACGCUUUGUGCUAUAUAUAGGUGGUUGAUCCCAGCUAAACCAAACCGAAUGCGAUAUUGACCAACCCAAAAUGUUCAUAGAUCCGAAGUUUUUUUGUUGAAUAUUAAAUAAAGAAGGAAUGUUAAUUUUUUUUUUUUAUUUUUUUUUUUUUUUUUUUUGUAAAAGAGGAAUGUGAUUUUGUUGAACUCCAUAAAUAUUUUUUUUGGUUUGGAUGUUAACAGAGUGCAUCACAAACGUAAAACGUCAACUUGAUACUCUGUUUAAAAAUCCUUUUAGGAAACGAUUACUUACAAAAACAAGAUUUCAAAACCAUCGAACUCUAAUCUAAAUUAGCGCUAGAUUUUAACCAAACAAUUUGUUUUCCUUAUUUUUUUUUUUUAAACUAUAUAUAUUUUGUUAAGGUUUAUUUAAUAAUUAUUAAGAUUGCAUAAUACCAAUUUUCAUUUAAUAAUCUUGAUUCUCUUUGCUUUCAACUAUUUUUGUGCAUACCCUUCUUUCUUCUUACCUUAUGAACUUGUUGUAGUGAUUGGUGCCUAUUCACAUGUUCUGGAUCUCUGGCUAAUAUCAUUCAGAACAGAGAACCAUGCUAUGCUUUCAUCAUCAUCGUCUCCAACUUUGCCAUGAUUCAGGACCUGUAAUUCCAAACAGAUGAGAAAACGAAGAAAGAAUGAUUCAUGGUUAUCUUCCAAGUAUAUCUAGAGACCACCAUCAAUGCAGAGAUAAUCUAAGUAUAAUGCCUACCUGGACGAUGUAGCAUAGAUGGGACAAGGCAUUUUCUGAAAACCCGACAAAGCAAAUGGAACCACACUAGGUUCUUGAGGAACUAAACCAAACUAUAAAUAUCAAGAUCUCUGUAAUUGUCAAUUUUUCUGAUCUCGUGUUGAGUAUAUUCAACCGAUGUCUUCAAACUCAUCUGUAUAACGUAAUGUCCUUUUACGAUUCCUUCACUUUAGAGCAUAGAUGGACAUUACCAAUUAGAUUCUUCAGUCCACUCUCGACCUUUCAGAGGUUAUAUAUGAACAACAUUAAUCACGAUGAAUCCAUGAUGAUCAACCUUUCUGAAUCACUUUGAUGAGGAAGACAGAAAACUUUUCGUAAUUCCCGCUGUUCUUCCAACAACAAAUCUCUUUAGGACCUGCAAAAUAUAUAAAACAAAAACCUUGUUUAGAACAUCAAUCUCUUUUUACAAAAUAUAAAAGUAGAAUAUAAUUUUUUGUUAUGGUUUUUUAAAGAUCAAGAUUAAUAUUGGGUGAUGAAAAGACGACAUCAUGUCACCUUCUUGACAUCAUCUAGAUUUUAAAACCAUUUGAAACUCUACCAAAUGAAUUGGUUUGAAAACCUUUCCUCACUAAUUGGCUUGUGUGCUCAAGGGACGUAGUUCCUUAUUUAUAUAUGCGGACCAUCUUAACCAUUUCACCCCCUUCCCCUUCAUAAGCCGCAAAUUACUUUAUAAAUUAACCCUUUUCUCCAGUAGUUAUUAUGCAGCACCAUCAACCCUUUUCUCAUUCUUAAACUUCACUUAGGCUUACUACGAUCUUUUACCGAGUCAAGGCAUUUGAUAAAAGACAGACAUAUCCCUAUAUGCACCACCACUCAUAAACUUCAAAUGAGCUUAUGCUCAGGUUUUUUCUUAGCCAAACCUGAGGCCUGUAGAAAAUUCGGGACCAAGUUUGUACCAUAUAUCAUGCAACAACAUCAACCGGUUGGUUUAUAAUGCGUAUGUACCAAGACACUUGAAUAGACAAUCCGUAAGCAAGUUUCACGCACCACAUCAGUUCCCGAUUCAUAAGUUUAAUAUAAGUAGCUUACAAUGGGUUUUCUAUCCGAUAACAUUUGUAUAGUCAAAUCCGGACCUAGUAUCGUGAACCAAACUCUUUCCCAUUUAUAAGCUUAUUAUGACUAGCUUACAGUAGGGUUGUAACCGAGGCAUUUGUAUAGACAAUCCGGAACCAAGUAUCAUCAUGCACCACACUCUUUCCCAUUCCCAAGCUUGUUAAGAUUAGCUUCCAAAUGGGUAUUAACUCAGACAUAUUCCCUACCACUCAUAAACCAGAAUGAGGUAAUAAAGAGUACAGUACUAAGUAUCAUGCACCACCAAUCUACCCUUUUUCAUUAAUAAGCUUUGACAAUAUGAAUUUGUUAACAGAACAGAGGCAUUUGUAUAGCCACUUGGAACAGAGUAUCAUGCAUCCUUUUCCCAUUUAUUAGAUCUUAAUUAGUCUUCUUGAUGAGCUGAGGCAAUUGUUUAAAAAUUUGUGGGUCAAAUAUCAUGCCUUACCAUCUACACUUUCCCAUUCAUAAGCUCAUGAAGAACUUAUAUUGUGUGUUUUAAAACUGUGUCAUCACUUUUGUGUAAACAAAGUGUUAUGCAACAGUAUCAACCGAUUGGCUUAUAAUGCGUUAUUUUAACCGAGGCAUUUGCAUAGACAAUUCGGAAGCAAGUUUCACGCACCACACCAGUUCAUGUUCAUAAGCUUCUUAUGAUUAGCUUACCCCAGGGCUUUAAGAGGAAUUUGUUUUGACAGGUAUAUCAUGCACCACACUCUUUCACAUUCCCAAGUUUAUCAAGAUGAGCUUUCAAUGGGGUUAAUUUAGCUUUUUAACCAAGGCAUUUGACUAGAGAAUCGGGGACCUAGAGUAUCAUGCACCACACUCUUUUUCAUUUAUACAAGCUUGUUAGAAUUUAGCUUCCAUUGUAGUUUUUAACCAAGGAAAUUGUUAGAACAAUCCAAGACUAGGACAAGUAUCAUGCAUCACACUCUUUGACAAUAAGCUUAUAAUGGGUUUUUAACUGAGGCAUUUAUAUGGGUAAAUUAGGGACCAAGUGUCAUGCACCACACUCUUUCACAUUCUCAAGUUUCCCAAUAAGUUUUUACGUUUUAAUCAAAGGCAUUUAAGUAGAGUUUCAGGGACCAAAUUAUCAUGCACCAUAGUCUUUUCCCAAUAGUAAAGCUUACACUAUGACCAAAUUAUCAUGCACCACGGUCUUUUCCCUGUAAGCUUACACUGUGAUAACUUAGAAUGGGUCUUUUUAAAUGGUCGGGACCAAUUAUGAUAGAAGACUGGAACGAGAGAUUUUUAAAGCCGAUUCCAGACCAAAUAACAUGCACCACCACCAAAAUUUAUCUCUGUUUAUAACCGAGCAAAGUGUUUAGUUAAUUAGUUUUAAACCGAUCUGGUUAUUAACCAAUAGAACAAUAUGGGACUCGGAACAAGUAUCAUGCACCACACUCUAACCUCCAAUCAUAAGCUUAUGAUGGGUUAUUGUAAACCGAGGCAUCUGAUUAGAACAUUACCGAAACAGAGGCUUUUUUUAUAGACACUAGAAACAGAGUAUCAUUCAUCUUUUUCCCAUUCAUUAGAUCCUUAUCUUCAUGAUGAGUUGAGGCAAUUGUUCAAAAAUUUCUGGGCCAAAUAUCAUGCUUCACCAUCUACACUUUCCCAUUCAUAAGCUCUUGAUGAACUUAUAUUGUGUGUUUUAAAACUGAAUCGUCACUUUUGUAUCGACAAAGUGUUAUGCAACAGUAUCAACCAGGGCUUUAAGAGGCAUUUGUAUUGACAGGUGUAUCAUGCACCAAACUCUUUUCACGUUCCCAAAUUUAUAAAGUUGAGCGUUCAAUGGGAUUUGACCUUUUUAACCGAGGCAUUUGACAAGAGAAUCUGAAACGUAGAGUAUCAUGCACCACACUCUUUCACAUUCCCAAGUUUAUAAAGUUGAGCGUUCAAUGGGCUUGAUCUUUUUAACCGAGGCAUUUGACAAGAGAAUCCGAAACCUAGAGUAUCAUGCACCAUACUCUAUUUCCAUUUAUGGACGCUUCUAACCAAGGAAAACUUUGAGCAAUCUGGGACUAGGACCAAAUAUCAGGCACCACACUCUGUCCAAAUCAAAUGCUUAUUAUGAUCAGCUUACUAUGGGGAUUUAAUCGAGGCAUCUAUAUAUAUGUACAACCCGGGACCAAGUAUCAUGCACCACACUCCUUCUCGUUGCCAAGCUUAGUAAAAUUAGCUUUCAAUGGGGUUUCAAGUUUUGACCAAGGCAUUUGAAUAGGGAAUCCGGGACCUCUAAUAGUAUCAUGCACCAUACUCUUUUUUAUUACCUUAGUAGAAUUUAGCUUUCACUGUAAAUUGUUAGACAAUAUGGGACUAGGACCAAGCAUCAUGCACCACACUCUCUCACAAUAAGUUUAUAAUGGGUUUUUUGCCGAGGCAUAUGGACAAUUCAGGGACCAAGUAUCAUGCACCACACUCUUUCACAAUAAGCUUAUAACGUAGCCGAGGCAUUUAUACGGACAAAUCAGGGACCAAGUAUCAUGCAACACACUCUUUCACAUUCUAAAGUUUCCCAUUUUAAUUAAGGCAAUCAAGUAGAGAAUAAGGGACCAAAGUAUCAUGCACCACAUUCUUUUCCCAACAAUAAGCUUACACUUUAAAAACUUAUAAUGGGGUUUUUAGAAAAAGUCGACCAAUUAGUAUGGAAGACUAAAGACUGGGACGAGAGAUCUGUUAGAGCAAGGGCAUUAGCGUUAGUACGCCGAGUCCCACUAGUUUUUUUGGUUUAAAAUAAAUCAAUAAUCGGAUUAAAUCUUGUAUACGUACCUAAAAACGGGACAAAUUUGAGUCGUCCCGUUUGCCACGUGUCAAAGAAUAAUUGGAGAUGAGAGUAAGAGGAGAAGAAAAAAUUUCGGGGUCUCUCGUUCAUUUCUCAUUCUCUCUCUCUCUCUCUCUCUCUCUCUCUCUCGACUUCGUGUGCGAAACGGCGAUGGACUUCGUGUGCGAAACGGCGAUGUUUGUGUUCGUUGAAGUGUGGUCGUUGUCGUCUGCCGUAUAGAUUUAGUGUCUAUUUGUAUGGUAUUUUGAUUCGAGUCGGGUUUAUAUUGCACACUCUGAUUUUUAAACUUGGUUUCUUGUGUGGUUGUUUGAUUCAAGUUGGGGUUUUGUAUUUGAUUAGAUUUAGUGUGUCUUUGUAUGGUAGUCUAAUUAAAGUUGGUUUUGUAUUGUUCACUCUUGAGUAACUUCGUUUCUUGUCUGGUUGUUUGAUUCAAGUUGGGGUUUUGUAUUGUGCAAUCUUGGUUUGCAGAAAAGGAGAAUCUUUGUUCGUAUGGGUUACCGAAUGAAGAAUGAGAAGUGAAUUUACCAGCUGAAGAAGUGCCUCCUGAGCUUCCACAGCCAGCUCUUGGUAUUAACUUUGCAAGAGAUGGGCUCUCUGAAAAAGAAUGGCUUUUUCUUAUUGCCAUUCACAGUGACGCUUGGUUACUUUCUGUUUCCUUUUACUUCGGCUCGAGGUUUUCUUUCCACAAGGAAGAUAGGUAAUGGAUGACAGUUUCUCUUUCGGUCUCCUUCUCUAUGUGGAUAGAGUGUACACUAACUUGUUUAAUUUCAGGAAGCGCUUGUUCAACAUGAUCAAUGAUGUUCCUACUAUAUUUGAGGUAGUGACUGGAAUGGCUAAAAGCCAAUCAAAGGACAAGUCAUCUGCUGCAAACCAAAACGGCAGCAAAUCCAAGUCCAACUCUUCUUUGUGAUUUUUGUUUUACUAGUAUUGGGAAGAAGGACAUUGUUUAUAAUAGACCCUUGGUUUUGUAGUUAGAUGGUUACAUGGCUAGGAGGAUGAAGAUUAAUUCUGUUGUUGGCUCGUACCUUGAUCCUCUUGCAGACAAGGUAUAGUCUUUUGAUCUAGUAUGUGUUUUGUUUUGGCUCAUUAUUGGAUGUUCUCUGAAUGUGUUUAGGGGUUAAGAUUGGUUUUACGUUUCAAGCUGAAGACAUGUGUGAGGUUUUAUUUCAUCUCAGUUUUCUUGAUUAUACUUAUGUUUAAAUUCAGGUUCUUAUUGGGUGUGUCGCAGUAGCAAUGGUGCAGAAGAUUACAUGUAUUUAUAUCAAGAGGAUUACAUGUAUUAAUAUCGUCCUGUUGAUCUCCUUGGACAUACCUCUUAUAAAGAUUACAUGUAUUUAUAUUAAGAGGAAACCUAACUAAGUUUACUAACUAAUUGCUAAACUUGGCUUCGUUUGUUAGUUAAUGGAGUCCUAGAUUGCAAUACUGCCUUUUAAACUUUAAUACUAAAGCCAUUUUUGGUGGAUGCAUGUGACAUUUGUGCUCUGAAGCUGGACUGGUUGGUAUUGUGGUGUUACGGGAUGUUGCACUCGUCGGUGGUGCAGUUUACCUAAGGGCACUAAAUUUGGACUGGAAGGUGAGUUCUUGAUUUAAUAUAUUAUUAAUUUAAUAGAAGGACAAAUAACAUGAGACACCAAUGCUCCUACACUCAAAAUUUUAAAAUGUCCUAUGAUCUAAAUAUUAUAAAAAAAUUUGAGGGACCAAGAUUGGUAUUACACCAAUGCUGAUGCUCUUAUACACGAUUCGAACCAUAUAGCAUGCACCACCAACUGUUUUAUGUUUAUAGCCUAGCCAAGGCUUUAUUUUUUGACCGAUAUGGUUCAAAACCAAGGCAAUAUAUAGAACAAUAAGGGACUCGACCAAGUAUCAUGCACCACACUUUCAACCCCAAUCGUAAGAAUGGGAUAUUAACCGAGGCAUCUGACUAGAAAUUUUGGGACCAAAUAUUACGCAACAACGGGACAAGGAGGGAUUUUGUAUUAGACGAUUCAGUCCCAAAUCGUAUGAAGCCAUCACCAUUCUUUAUCUUCCCGAGCCGAGGCAUUUGCAUACCGAUUUGGGACUGAAUUCGACUAACACGCACCACCACCAUCUUAUUUGUUAACGACCAACCCUAAAUCGAAAAACAAAAAAGACAAACCCUACCGCAAUUUUAUAACCCAGCCAAGCCUUUAUUAUUCAUCCGAUCAGGUUUUAAACCUACCGCAAUAUGGGACUCGGACAAAUCAUCAUGCACCACACUCCAACCGCAACCAUAAACUUAUCGUGAUAAGCUUUAGAAUGGGUUAUAAAUUAACCGAGGCAUCUGAUUAGAACAUUAUGGGACCAAUUACGCAACAAGACAAGGAGGGUUUAUUGUAUCAACCGAUUCAGUCCCAAAUCGUAUGAAUCCAUCACCAUUCUUUUUCAUUCCGAGCCGAGGCAUUUGUACAACGAUUUGGGACUGAAUACGAUUUAACACGCUCAACCACUUCCUUACUUUUUGUUAACGAUCAACCCUAAAUCGAAAACACAAAAGAGACGAACGAACCCUAACGCAAUAGGUAACAAACCGGCUACGAAAAGGAAAUAAAGAGAACCGCGCAGCCGGAGGAUUCGUAGGUCUCUGAAGAGAAAAAGAAACAAGCUCUCUACACAUCAUAUAUAUAGAGAUCUGGAAUGAUGACCACAACCGCCUAACGGAGAAAAAGGAAAAUAUUUUAUGGGCCUUAGGCCCAAUAGAUGAAGGCUCGCAGUAAAAAAAAUAUGUAGGUUAAUUAAGGGUUUGAUAGAGCCAAUAAAAAAAAGUGAACCAAAAAAGGAAAUAAAUAAAGAGACCGUUGUUGGAUUAGCUUGAAAACCAAAUCCAUUUCUCUUCUUUAUAUCUCACCUGGCUUUUUUUCUACCCACUAAAUUUACCAUGUUCUCUCCUGAGACAUCAAGAAAAAGAAAUUGUUAACGAAAAACAAACUGAAACAAAAACAACAUCCAGUAUAACGCUUUGUGCUAUAUAGAGGUGGUUAAUCCUAGAUAAACCAAACCGAAUGCGAUUUUGACCAACCAAAAUGUUCAUAAGAAACAAACUGAAUUCGAAUACGGACUAAACCAAAAACAGAUGAUCCGAAGUUUUUUCUUGAAUAUUAAAUAAGGAAUGUGAUUUUGUUGAACUCAGUUAUUUUUUUGGGGAUUCUUAUUUUCUUUGGAUAAUGUUAGCAGAGUGCGUCACAACACAUGAAGUGUCAACUUGAUAAAAAGAUUGUACGAAUGAAUGAAUGAAUGACUAUUAAUCCUUUUAGGAAACGAUUACUUACAAAAACAAGAUUUCAAAACCAUCGUCGCCCAAUAUGUGUCUAAUCUAAAGUAGCGUGGUUGGUGCAUUGUCUUUUUGAUUCGACCGAUUUAGGAGACCGGUCUUUUCAUGAGUUUUUCUCCUGAGACAUCAUCCACGUAAUUGUCAAAUUUUGAUAAAGCAGUAAGACCUUUUUUUUUUUUUUGGGUUCUCCUAGAAGAAAAGAUAAUAACAUAAAUAAAGGGGUGAGUGAGUGUGAAACCAAAAAAAAAAAACUAGGACCCCAGAAUAAAUGAUGAACCAUAACUGUAAAGCCACGUAUGUACCAGUCCACGUCUGUUAGUACAGCACCCGCCGCAGAUGGUGAAUGAUCGUUUUUUAAAAGCUCUGGUCUGGACGCUCUUUAUUUCCCAACUUUAUCAACUACUUUUUCUAUUAAGUGUACAUGUUUACAUUUUUGUAGCUGCUUGCUUACUUUUAUGUUUUUCCUAACAUCUUUUGGUAAGUUGACUUUGCCUCUCUGGGAUCUGGACGCUCUUUUUUUUCAUUCUCAACGAAAUUUCCUAAGUUUUAUAUCGGGUACCGACGUACCGUAUACCUUAUAUAGUACUAUUAGCUAGGCAUGCCAUCAUCAAAGAUUAUCUUUAAUUUAUGUCAUUCAAAUAAGUUUAUGAGUGGUUUAAGUCUCUUCGUAUGUUUACCGCGACGCUUAUUUCGAUUAUGUGAAGUUAACCAGUACUAUAGAUUAGAGAAGAGAUCUUGCUUCAAAUUCUCUUGUAAAUAAAUUUCGUUACUUGAGAGGGAGGAAGGCAAACCUCAUUGAUGAGAUUUGACUCAUAUAUCGUAGUUUGUAUAUCUCAACAAGUUUGUAGAUGAGAUUUCAAGUUACCAAUACAUUUUUGUAACAAAAGUUAUUAAAAAAAAUACAUAUGAGAAUGAACUUUAUAAUUUUGAACAUUUACAUGAUUAAAAAUUUAAAACCAGUAAUAUCUUAAUCAAGAAACUUUACAAAUUUUAGCUUGAAGAAUAAUGAGUGGUGGAUUUUCACAAGACCGAUUAGAUUAUUUAGAAAGGUUAAGGGAAUUUUGGAAAAUAAAAGUAGGUAGGGGAGCAAACUUGCAAAUUUCCUUAAAAUAUUACGUUGAAAAUUCAACUUUAUCAAAAGAGUGAGAGAGCUCAAUUAAAAAAAAAGAAAAAAAAAAAGAUAACAGAACGUUCCAUUUUAUUUUAUUUUAUUUUGUUUGAUUCACUCUCAUCAUUUCGGACACCAUAGAAAAGCUCUCUCGUAUUCUCAAUUUCAAUCUCUUCUCACGACGAAAUCUGUAACACCAGAUACAUAGUCUUUUACUUUUUGACUUCGUUUCUCUUAGUUUCUUAGGGUUCUUCUGUCGGAAUAUUUUUGGGUCAAAAGCUUCGAACUCGAGUGUGAAUCAUCAAGAUGGACGGCGACGGUUCCGGCAGGCUUAUCGGCUCGGAGAUUCAUGGAUUCCAUACCUUACAUGGUAAGACCCCAGCUCUUUGGUUUUAUUUUAUUACAUGUUUUCUUUUUUUUUUUUUUUGAUUCGCUGGUUCUUUGGUUUAUUUCAGAGUUUUCGUCCUUUCCCCCGAGCUGUGUUUUAGUUGAGGGUUGUUAUAUUAUAAAAAGUUGUAAUUUUUAUGAAAUAAUAUUGUUGGGUUUUGGAGUUUAUUACACUUUGUAUAUUUGUAAAGAUGACGUGGCCGUUUUUGUUCCUUUGCGGCCACUGGAAGUUGAAUUUGUAGUUACUGUGAAAUUGAGGUUCCUUUAGUUUAUCUAUGGAUUUAGUGUAUGAUUCAUAAGUUUGUAGUGUGGAAAAUUAACAACUUUUGGCGUCUGUCGGAUUUGAAAGUGGAUAAUUCAGAGGUUUUUCGAAGGAAGUGAUGAAACUGUGUGUUAUGCCUGAACAAGUUUACUUGUGUGUUGUAAGCACAAAAGCUUAGAAACAUAGUAUUUUUUUAUAUAUAUUUGUGAUGAUGGAUGGAUAUUCAUGUCGAGUUUGUUCUAUCCUCUUGCUUUGAGUUUUGUGAAUAUAUGAAUAUGUUCCUUUUGUUUGAUGUUUCUUGACAUAUGUUCUGCUUGUGCCUUUUGCAGAUCUUGACGUCCAGACCACUUUGGAGGAAGCAAAAGGCAGGUGGCUUCGGCCAAAUGAGAUCCACGCUAUUCUCUCUAACCCUAAAUACUUCACCAUCAAUGUCAAGCCGGUGAACUUACCCAAUAGUAAUCAUUCUCUUCUAUACCCAAAAGUGACCACUCAAACAUUUUAGGAUGUUUGUUCAAGUUUACAUGACUUCUUAUACUCAUGUUAUGUUUCAUUAUUUUUGCAGGUGGCAGAAUUAUAUUGUUCGACCGUAAGAUGUUGAGGAACUUCAGAAAGGAUGGUCAUAACUGGAAAAAGAAAAAAGACGGAAGGACAGUUAAAGAGGCUCACGAACACCUGAAAGUGAGUUUUUUUUUAGCUUGUAUCAUAUACGGUCAUAUCAUGAGUUCUUUCUUUCCGGCUAAUUAAUGUCCUUUGGAUGAUGCUAGGUUGGUAACGAGGAAAGGAUUCACGUAUACUAUGCCCACGGUGAAGAUAAAACUACCUUUGUUCGAAGGUGUUACUGGUUACUAGAUAAGUAUGUAGUAAGCAAAGAUCACAGACUUGUCUACUACUUUAUAUAUCUUUUGAGAAAUGACUUGAUUAGAGUCCCUUCUCUUCUAUGUUUCUUCUGAAGGUGAUGAAAAUAAAUCAUCUCUUCUUUUUGUGGCAGGGCUCGAGAGAAUAUCGUCCUUGUACAUUACCGUGAUACACAGGAGGUUUGUUUUCUUUUCCACCUGUUCUCAAGUCUCACUUGGGUUUCUUAUAUUAGAAAGUUAUGGUUGGAUCAGUGUGAUGUAUUUCUUUGCAGUCCAUAUUUGGAUGCUCUCUUUCUCUAUUGAAUAGUCACUAUUUCCGAUUGGUAGGCUUUAUUCACAGUCCUCUAUGAUAUUUUGAUUGGUUUGAAAUGGUAUGUUCAGGCAGCUACUUCAUCGGGAGAGUCAAACUCUAGUCCAAUAGAGGUCUCCGACCAGACAUUCCCAAAUCUCAUGACAGCUGAACAUAUUGAUUUUAGCAUUGAGAACUCACGUUAUAUAGGUGAGAACAAUCUUUUACGUGAUAUCGGUUUUUCACAGUUUUUCUAGGUAGCGUUGCCACUAUGGAUUUGCUGUUUGCAAACUAUAAAUGUGUUCUCUGGUCUCUUCAUAUGGAUACUUAUCACACUAUCUUUUGGUGGCUCACAGCAAGCAACAACAGUCCAGUUGUUAGAAAUCAUGAAAUUAGCCUUCACGAUAUCAAUACACUCGAUUGGGAUGAGCUGCUAAUACCAACCGAUCUUCACAACCAAUCUGCACCAACCGAAGGUAACUUACAGUUUGUGCAGUUAGAGAAAAAAUGGGAUGUUGUUGAAAAUACAUACUCUUUCUUUUUUUCUGUGAUCAGAUGAUCUGUCAUACUACACAGAACCGCUCCAAAAUGCUGCAAACGGCUCUGCAGCGCCUGUGAAUGUGACAGUAGGUGAUGAAUCUCUUGAUGCUUUGCUUAACAAUGGUCCACAAAGUCGAGAGAGCUUUGGAAGGUGGAUGAAUUCAUUUAUCGGCGAAUCUAAUGGCUCGCUGGAGGAUUCUUCCUUUCAACCCAUGGUUACGCUUGAGCAGGACCCAUUAGCUCCUCAAGCUUUAUUUCAUCCUCACUCCAACAUACCUGAGCAAGUGUUUAACAUAACUGAUGUUUCACCUGCUUGGGCAUAUUCUUCAGAGAAAACAAAGGUAAUAAGAUAUCGAUCUAGCGACAGUAUGUGCUAUCAUAUGAAUAAAAAUAAUAGGUAUUAGUUGAAAUGGAGCGCAUAACUUUCUUACAUACUGAUUGUGCAGAUUCUUGUAACUGGGUUCUUGCACGACAGUUAUCAACAUCUUGAAAGAUCAAACAUCUUCUGCAUUUGUGGUGACUCGUGUGUCCCUGCAGAAUAUCUCCAACCGGGAGUAUACCGUUGCAUCAUACCUCCACACUCGCCUGGGAUGGUAAACCUCUAUCUUAGUGUAGACGGCAACAAACCAAUCAGCCAAUGUUUCAGGUUUGAACACCGUUCAGUCUCAGUUCUUGAUAAAACCAUCCCUGAAGACAAUCAAGAAUCCAAAUGGGAAGAAUUUGAGUUCCAAGUCAGACUUUCUCAUCUUCUAUUUACGUCUUCCAACAAACUCAACGUUCUUUCCAGCAAAAUCUCACCUCCAAACCUGCGAGAUGCCAAAAAACUCGCUAGCAAAACAUCCCAUCUCUUAAACAGUUGGGCUUAUCUAAUCAAGUCCAUUCAGGGGAAUAAGGUGUCAUUUGAUCAAGCGAAAGAUAAUCUCUUCGAGCUAACUUUGAAGAACAGGCUUAAGGAAUGGCUUGUGGAGAAAGUGCUUGAAGGUCGCAACACACUGGAUUAUGACUCUAAAGGCCUCGGUGUGAUCCACCUCUGUGCCAUUCUUGGAUACACUUGGUCAAUCCAGCUGUUCUCGUUAUCAGGUUUAUCGUUGAAUUUCCGUGAUAAACAAGGAUGGACAGCUCUUCAUUGGGCAGCAUACUAUGGAAGGUAAGAUCUAUCUCUUUCAAAGCUAUAUAUACUCUGUUGUAAGCUACUUUUUACUAUAUACAGUUUUUUUUUGGGUUUUGAAGGGAGAAAAUGGUGGCUGCUCUUCUCUCUGCUGGGGCGAGACCGAACCUGGUGACAGACCCGACGAAGGAUAAUCUUGGCGGAUGCAUGGCAGCUGAUUUGGCAGAGCAAAAUGGAUAUGACGGCCUAGCUGCAUAUCUUGCUGAGAAAUGUUUGGUUGCUCAGUUUAGAGACAUGAAAAUUGCUGGAAACAUCAGUGGCAAUCUGGAGACUUGCAAAGCGGAGAUGCUGAACCAAGGCACUCUCCCGGAGGAUGAGCAGAGUCUCAAGGAUGCUCUGGCAGCAUACAGAACAGCUGCAGAAGCAGCGGCUCGAAUUCAGGGUGCAUUUAGGGAAAAGGCGCUGAAGGCAGCACGGUCAAGUGUGAUUCAGUUUGCUAACAAAGAAGAAGAGGCUAAGAGCAUAAUUGCAGCAAUGAAGAUUCAGAAUGCAUUCCGUAAAUAUGAUACGCGUAGGAAGAUAGAAGCCGCUUACCGGAUUCAGUGCAGGUUCCAAACUUGGAAAAUGAGAAAAGAGUAUCUAAAUAUGCGGCGUCAAGCAAUUAGGAUCCAGGUAUGAAGUGAACAGUUAAUCCUGUGAACGAGAACCAAAGCAAGAUUCAGCAGCCAGGAUUAUAAGUUUACUCUGAACUUGGCUGUUCAUAAUCAUCACUUUUGUCUAAAUUCCGCAACCUAUAAGACAGUGAUAGUCCACACCUUUAUCAUAACAUUUGUCUGAGUUUUCUAACACACACAAGUGUAUUUCCUCUAAUUUUGCAGGCUGCUUUUAGGGGAUUACAAGCACGGAGGCAGUACAAGAAGAUCGUAUGGUCGGUAGGAGUGUUGGAAAAGGCAGUUUUGAGGUGGAGACAAAAGAGAAAAGGGUUUAGAGGACUCCAGGUUGCAGCAAAGGAGGAUUCUCCAGGUGAGGCAGAAGAUUUCUACAAGACGAGCCAGAGGCAAGCAGAGGAGAGGCUCGAGAGAUCUGUAGUGCGAGUCCAAGCCAUGUUCAGGUCUAAGAAGGCUCAACAGGAUUACAGGAGGAUGAAACUCACGCAUGAAGAAGCUCAGGUGAAAUCUAUAUUGUAUUUUGUUUUCUUACAUUUUAUAAUCUCAAUUUAGUGGAAAAAACACAAAACGGAGAGAUAAAUUCGUACAUGAAGUAACGAAUCUUGUUGAUGAUUUGAUGCAGUUGGAGUACGAUUGCCUGGAAGACAUUUGAUAUUGAAAUGGCUAUGGAGAGGUGAGUCAAAAGUGUUGAACAUGGAUUGUAUUGAUCUGUAAAUUAUGUGAAUGGAAACUAAUAAAGUAUUCAUAACGAGACCAAUCUUUGUUGUUGAUUGGUGGGUGCAUUAAAAAAGCCAAAAAGAAGAAGACAGAAUUAACAAAUAGAUAUAUCUGUCUACUUCUCUGAUGGUUAUUUUGGGACUCUGGUGUAAUCUACACGUAUAUUUGUAGAAUAAAAUUGCAGGUAUCCACAGAAAAUCUUAUGGAACAUUUGUAGUCUUAAACUCGGUUCCUAUGCCACCUGAUGGAAAUAAUGGCCAGAAAAGUGUUUUUAGUAGUAAAAAGAGAAGAAUCAUCCAAAAGUGAUUACUCACUUCAAAAACAAACAUACAAAAAUCAAAAGCACAAUCUCAGGCUCUACUAAUCGAAACCAUGAAACAAUUAAACAAAUAUACGUGAAAGAAGAGACAAGACUUCAACAUAUAUAUUCUCAAAGAAAGAAGAAGGCCUUGUUGAUAUAUCUUUUUUGUCUUCACUAAGUGAAGGUUCUUUCUCAUCAUCUCCUCUUCUGUUUCUUCUUCUUAGAUCCUCUUGGUUUGCGUUUAGCUUUAUCUUUGCAUCUCCCUAAAGUACAACCACAAAUUUUCUUUCUUCAAGAUGUUUCCUCCCCCAAUAAGUUUUUGGUUUUUUAUUAUACAGCCACUUUAUCACUUACUGUCCUUGUCGUAGCAUGACUUUCAACCUGAAAAUUGAACUUAAAGUGUAAGAUUCUUUUUGCUUUUUAGUAGAGGAUUUAAAUCUGUUGGUUGCAGUUAAAAAUAAAGGGGUUCGCUGGCCAAUGGCAUGAGUGUCUGUGUAUGUAUGUGUUUGUAGACUGUUUUGCUUUACCUUGGCUGCUUUGAACAGUUCGUCAAGGACCUCAGACAGUGUUGGAUGUGCAUGAACUGCCAAUUUUAUGUCCUGCAGAGAUACCAGUAACCAUGCAGGAUCAAGAAAUAGAUGUAAUCAAUGUGUUUAGUAAUUUCAACAGCUAUGGUACUAUGUAUAUAGCACGAUUUCCCGGUAGGAAAUUAUCAACAUCAAAGGCUAAGUGCUAAAUCCAAUAUGAAUCAGGGAAAUAAGCAGCUAGAGUAUAAAAAAAAGCAUACCUGAAUGCGUGUUCCUAGAGCUAUCGCAUUGGAAGCUUCAUGGAUAAGGUCAGCUGCAUGCAGUCCAAAUAUAUGAACUCCUAGGAUUUCCCCAUUGUCAGGUCGGUAUAUCAUCUGCAUAAUCAAAGCAGUGAGAUCUCUUUUGCCUUUCAUAAACCUUAAAUACUCAACAACUUUUGCUUCUCCCACCUUUGCUAUUCCUUCUCCUUCAUUUUCAGCUAGGGCCUUUGUGUUAGCCUUGAAACUUGUCUUGGCAACACUAACUUUAAAUCCUUCUUUCUCACCUUUCUCUUUCGCUUGAGGCUGACAAAUCAAGGGAAUACUGUCAAAACCUAAGGAGUUACAGUAAGCAUAAUUUGCUCAUAACAUUUUUCUUUUUGACCUUCUUCAGUACAAAAAGCACUACGUGCACUAGGAUAUAGAAUUACCUCUGUCAAUCCCACCAUGCUGAUUUCAGGAUGAGUAAAGCAGGCAGCUGGGAUGCUAAGAUGAUUAAGCACAUGAUCUCUGCCGCUGACUUGCUCGACCACUAGCCACAGAGUUAAAUACAAGUCCAUUAAGAAAAAUGGGAAAAUAUUUACUGCGUUAUUAGUAGCCUGCCUAGUGAUAAGCCAUUUACCAGAUAUUCCUUGGGCACUAGCUGCAUGUGCAAGCAUCAAUUUACCAUUGGCAUCACCAAUGCAGUACAAGUUGGGAACCUAUCAAGUAAAAAAAAAAAAUUAGAAUGUAAAAAGAAUCGCUGAUAAGGAAAAGGUAUAUACAUGCAACUAAAACUGACCAGAGUCCCGUUUCCAUCGAUCACACGCAUUCGCUCAUCAACUGGUAUGAAACCUCUCUGCGUCACAACAUUGACCUGCGUUGAGAUUACAACUUCAAAGUUAAUUUUCUGACUGACCAAAUAUUCUCUGGUAACCAAGAUGACAAUACAAGAGGAUGGAGUUUAGUAUCAUCUCAUACAUUUUCCAAGCCAAGUCCAUUGGUGAAUGGAGCUCUUCCAGUAGCAAUAAGAGCAGCAUCUACCUGGCGAAGGAAAACAAACUCACACUUUAAGCACAGAACAUCACAUAGUAAAAUGAAAUAAAACCAAAAGACAUGACUAUAUUUUUCUUUUUUGGGAGGAAAAGGCCACAAUAUAUUCAGAAAAUGAGAAGCGUUUCUUAUCCAUUUAUGUCAUCAUGUGUAUACUAUAUUUCUGUGGGAAGAGUAACAAUCUGGUUAAUACUGCAGGCAAUAGAAAAAUAAGUGAAAACAAGACUUUUAAGGAUCCACUACCAACGGCACAUAUCUUCCCAAUUCAGGCAUGAAUACUAAUUACUAAGUAACUGUUAAAUAUUCUCUUUGUGAGACAUCAAAUCUCCCUAUCAUCUAUAUGACAUUUGGUUACCUCCAAAGUAUCCUUAGGUUCCUUGGUUUUCGCAUCAAUAAGCUCAAUCAAAACUGGUUUCCCAUCCUUUGCCGGAGUAAUCUGAAUAAGAGUAGAUUCAAGUUUAACAGAUGAACACAUGGACACACUUUGUAAUCUGUAUUUGUAAUGCAUUACUUAAACAGACUCACUUUGCUUGCAAAGACUCCAGUAUGAUAGUCAAUCUUUCUUGGAUUUAUCAAAACCCUCUGAGCUAGCUUACUGAUCUCAGGAUCAAAUCCAGGCAUUAGCUGAUCCAAUGCUUCAAUAAAAGUUACCUGCACAAAAGGUUCCCGUUUUCGAUCACUAAUUAUAGAGAUGGAGCAAACCUAAUGAGUAAUGAAUCAUAACUUGGAAGCGGCAAAUAUUCAAUUAGUAGACUUGGUAGCUUAAAACCUAUUUUACUACUAUAUACACAACAGCAAGCUCAAUACAGUAAGAAACCAAACAAAGACUAGAAAAUUGGAGAUCAUUGCUAAGUUACAGUUAUGACAAUCUCAACUACGAAACACAAUAUGACAAAGUCAUACUAAAGUAAUAUCAUUAGUACAUAAACAUCAUGCUACCUCGCUUCCAAGUGCUGUGUAAACAUCACUGAACUCAAGACCAAUAUAACCACUUCCGACAAUUGCAAUCCAAUCAGGGACAGACUCCAAUUUCAAGGCAUGGUCACUGGUGAUAACAGUCUUUCCUACAGAACCAAAAUAUAAACAUUCAAGGAAUCAAGUCUGAUUGUUUUUUGCACCCAAAAGAAUGGAGAAUAACUUUUUUUUUCAGGCUUCUCCCUUAACAAGUCUACAUCCAAAACAAGAAACGUACCAUCAACUUCAAUUCCUUUAGGAACAAACGGCACAGACCCAGUGGCAAUGAUGAUAUCCUUUGCAGUAAUAAUAUUGUCCUUCCCAUAUUUAACCUUUUGUGGUCCCUGCAGAAGAAUUACAAAAAUUAAAGAGUUAGGAUCAAUGUAUCAUGUUCCUGUUCCUGUUAGUCAACGUGAGAGAAAAACACGUACUGACCAGAACACUGCCAAAUCCUGUCAAUAUGUCAACACCAAGUGCCUUCAUUGAAUUGGUGAGAUUGUUUCGAAUUUUGGUAGCCAGGUUAUUAGCAUGGUCAGCCACACCCUGACGAUCAUAUCCAGCAGCUGAAACCUAUUUUCCAAGGGUAAAACCAAAAAAAAAAACAUAAUACAGUGAAAGGCCAGAAGGAGUAAAUUCAACACUAACGAUCAUUGGCAUCAAACAUGAUCCAUCUACAGCCAAGCAACUUUAUAUCAGAGAACAUGAGUUACCUGGAGACCAAAGGACUUCAUGUGAUGUUCGUUCUGAAGUUCCCGCAUUCUACCACUAACAGCAAGAAGAGCUUUAGAAGGCACACAUCCUCUGUUAACACAAGUCCCUCCAACAACAUCUCCUUCAAUGAUGGCAGUUUUAAGUCCCUAAUGAAGCCAAUGUUUCCGUAAAUUUCAAAAGAAAUCAUAACAAAUCGUAAAAGAAAACACCUUUGCUACACAUCCCCAUCAUCCCAUUGAGUCAUAAGAAAGAGCAAAUCUUUUCUUUCAAAAUGAAAUCAAAAUAUUCACAAAUCAUCAUGGUAUAGCAACUCACAGGAUACUUAAAGUAUUAGCCUUUUUAGUUGUUUUCGUAAUAAUAAAUUACAAACCUUCUCAACAGCAUGCAAAGCAGCUCCGUGGCCGCCAACUCCAGCUCCGAUGAUGAUCAAAUCGUAAUCGAAAGAUUUGGGAGGAGCACCAUUACCAUUACCAUUACUCGAAGCAGAAGCGGAGACUUGGAAUCCACUACUCUGAGUUCGGAUUCGGUCACUGCGCAAAGCCAACUGAUUCGACGGAGAGAAACCAAACGCUUCCCGGCGGAGUCCGCAGAACCGGAGACUCUUAGGCGUAGAGAAAACGGAAGCAGUUGAUCCGAGCACGUGGUUCGGUCUUGUAAACGACGUCUGGGAAAACGAAAGCGCCAUAGCUGAUUGCAUUGUAAGAGAGACACAGAGAUCUUACAGAGGAAAGGAGCAAGACACAGAUGACAAAUUAACCGGUCGGAGACAGUGAGUGAGUGCGUAAAUUAGCCCAACAACGAAGGCGGAGAUUUCAAAGCGCCUUUUUGGUUUGUUUGUUUAACCACUUUUGUUUUACACGUGGCAUUUACGACUUUGCUUAUAGUAGUUUUCCUUUUUUACCAAACCUGAUUUAAGUCUAAGGCCCAUUGGGUCAAUAUUAACCUCGUACCCUUUCUUUUUUUCAGCCCAUUGGGUCUUCUUAGAGUAUUUUCUUCUGUUUUUACACGUGUAAACUUAAAUGCUAAGUUGCAAACCUUGCAGAAAUAAAAAGUAACUCUUUAUUUUUAUUUUUUUCAAAUAAUAAUAACUUAGAUACACCAAAUCAAAGGCAUUUAAUUUAUUGUUUAAUACAGAGGUUAAGAUAUAGCAAAGGAUUAAUUGUUUCCAAACGAUUGAGAAUCCCAAGGAGGACAGUGACUAAACGUUCCAGUCUUUUUCAUAAGUUGACAAGGUCCUUCUGGGCUUACCUUCCAUUCACAUCUUUUGCAAGCAAACGGCCCAGCAGGUUCUUGGUCUCUACUUUGCUUGUAGAUACGAAAAUAAUGGAACUCGAGUCUCCAGGAAAAAAGGCAAGCGUAUAUAGUAUUUCCAGAAUCACUGGGUUUGAAUUCGAAUGACCACGAUCCACCUGGUAACAUGGUGUGGACUCCGAGAUCAACUUUAUAUGAUUGACAAUGGAACACCAUCGGAACUGAACCUCCGUUAGAUAUCACCACUGUUGUAUUCGGGUUUCCAAUACUUGUCGGAGCCAUGGCGUUUUCAGCGACGGUCAUUGUUACACUUGUACACAUAACUAUGGUUAUGAAUGCUACAAGUUCCUUUAGAGAACCCAUCUUGUUGUUUUUUUAUUUUUCUUGUUUGCAAUGUGAUAGUAUUGGUGUGUCUUUUUGGAUGACUAUUUCGCUCAAUACUUGUGUGUGUAUUUAUAAUACCAGAUUUUCUUUUUCUUUUUUUUUUUUUUCUUUUUUUUCCAGAUUUUGUUUUUUUUUUCGGUAAUGAUACCAGAUUUUGUUGUUGACUUAUCUAGUGUUUAUAAUGUUUCCUUUUUCAAUGCAAUUUAGUGUUUUGAACAAUUUUAGUCAAAGUCUUACCAAAAAAAAAAAAACAAUUUUAGUCAAGUAUAAUUUCUGUAUAAAAGGAAAUAUCAUUAUGGUUGAUAUAAUAAAGCUAAUUUCUGAUAUCAACUAUGAUUUAUGUUGACAUGUUUUAUAAUAAUAUGAAAUAUAUUUGAUUUGACGGAAAAAAAUAAAAUAUAUAUGAUGUCGUCAAUUUAAAAGUAUAUAGUAAAGAAAAUCUCAUCACGGCAAGUGUUUUCAUCAUAUGUAAAUACGAAAUACUUGUAUUAAUUGAUUAUUAUAGAAUUAUAGAAGUAGAAAUAUGUAUAUAGAGAUGUUGUUGUUAAUUGUUAUCAGGAGAAUUCCAAGGAAGACAAACAUCAAACAUUUUAGUCUUUUUGUUAAAUUUGCAAGGUCCAUUUUUGUAUAUCUUCCAUUGGCAUUUCCUACAUCCAAACUUGGCGAAUUCUCUGUCUCUGUUCUGUUUGUAGAUAUCAAAAUAAUGCAACUCCUGUUCCCAUCUAAAACUGCAAAAGAACAAAGUGUUCCCAAAAAUACUUGGUCUGAAUUUAAACGACCACGUUCCAUUUGGUGGCAUGGUCCAGUCUCCAAGAUCAUCGUCUCUUGAUUUGCAAUGAUAUCUCAGCGGCAAAGGACCUUCAAGAUCAUUAUGUAUCAUUACUGUCGUUCUUGGGUUGUCGAAACCUGAUGGCUUUGGAGCCAUAGCAUGUUGAGCGCCACGUAUUAUUAUUACAUUCACACACAUAGUCAUGAUCAAGAGAGCCAUAAGUUCUAGUAGAGAACCCAUUAAUUGUCUCUCUGUCUUUUUUUUCGUUUUUUUUUUGGUAUUCGCUUGCAAUAUGAAAAGUAUUGUAUAUAUAUAUGGAUGACUCUUACACUCAAUAUUUACAAUAAAUACUUACUACCAGUUUUAUUAUAUUCCCUAAACAAUUUUUUUGUAUGUAGUCAAAUGAAACUUGUAUAAAAAAGGAAAUGUUAUCAUGGUAGAUGUGUAAAUAGUUAUCUUCCAUAAUACAAUGUAGUCAAAUUUAAUAUUCUGUAUAAAUUAUAGUUCUCUCAUAUCAAUAAAGCCUCAAUAGGUCAGGCCCAAUAAGCCCAAGCGAAACAACCGUCCGAAGAUAUCACUACCAAAGUACUCUCAACUCUGUUAUAUGAGAGAACGACGAUCUCAUCUUCCUAAACGAGCCCGCCAGAUUUUUUCUUUGAGACUCUUGUGAUUCAGCUCUCAAACCUAAAUUCUCUCAGCUGAUUCAGCGAAGAUGAGUACUAUGAAAUUUUGCCGCGAAUGGUAACAAGCACUCGAGUCCUCAAUCUCUCUUAUAGUUUUCUUAGAGAAUUGCACCUCAUUUCGUCUAGGUUUUUUCUUUUCAAAGUUUCAAACUUUUUGCAUGAAUUUUUUAUUUUUUGUUGUGAUGUUUUUCUUCAUCUGUGGAACCAUCCAUGGUUGAUUUCACCUGGGAUAAUGUGUUAAUUUCGCUUAAAGCUCUUACCUUUUUUUCGAAUUUUGUUAAUGGGUCGUCCUUGAUUUGAUUGGUUUGUUGUUUCUGUUUGAUUUUUUUUGGGUUCAGUAAUAACAUUCUGUAUCCUAAGGAGGACAAGGAGCAGAAGAUUCUCCUCUACGCUUGCCGUAAUUGCGAUCACCAGGUAUAGAAAAGCUUUUGGUCAUUUUUGUGUGGACAAAUUUAGGGUUUGUUAGCAUUCAAUGUAGUGCUAUGACUUAGUUUAGCAUUCAAUUUCGAGUCUUUAAUGAAGCUAUCUCCUGCUUUGCUCUCUUUUAAUGCUCCUAGUUUCUUCCAAUUAGAAUUCCUUAGUUUCACCUCCAACGUCUCUACUCCUUUAAUCAAGGCUUAUCCAGCAAGUUCGUUCUUGUGGUUUUACCUUUUUUAGUUAUUGUGUUCAUGAGAUCAAGGGCCUAAUUCUUAGCUUAUGGAAAAUAUUGGUUACACAAACUGAGUGUAGUUCUUGACAUUUAUCAAAGCUGCAUUGUCAUCUUGUUGUUACAAAUUGGAUCAUGUAAGUGUCGUCAUCAUCAGAAUUCAUGCUUUUUGGGGGCACUGACUUGCAGGAAGUAGCUGAUAACAGCUGUGUGUACAGAAACGAGGUUCAUCACUCUGUAAGUGAACGAACUCAGAUCCUAACGGAUGUGGCUUCUGACCCUACUCUUCCCCGAACCAAGGCUGUGCGUUGUGCCAAGUGUCAGCAUAGGGAGGCUGUCUUCUUCCAGGUAUAACUAUCUUAAGAUCCAUCAUCUAUUGGUUAUGCUACAUCUUCACUGGUUGUUCCUAAACGUAUUCUCAACUUUUGUAUCCUGCCCGAGGAUUUAAUGAAGUUAUCGUUGAAUGUGCAGGCUACGGCUCGAGGUGAAGAAGGAAUGACAUUGUUCUUUGUCUGCUGCAACCCGAAUUGUGGUCAUCGCUGGAGAGAAUAGAUAGAUUUUCUAGUUUCAAUCAUCACCUAUGUUUUGAUGAGUUCUCAGCACAAUGAUGUUGAUGUAGUUAUCAGUAAGUGUUAAGAUGUGGAAUGAUGUGAACAACCUUCUGCCCCAGUCAGAGACAAAUCCGUAUUAGGAGCUAUUUAGUCAGUGUUAUGGCAUCAUUAUCUCAACUUGUGUAUCACCCAUACAUAAAAAACUGAAACUUGUUUCUCUCUUAACUGAAAGCAAACGAGAAAAGAAAAAAAAAAACUGAACCCAAACAUUUGCUACUAUCCUCCACGGCUCAUCUCCCAGAACGCGACCUCGUGUUCAAGAACACGUACAAGCACAUCUUCAGCUUCGGCCAAAGCUUCGUCGGAGGCAUUCUCCAGGCAACGCUCGGCGAUGUUCUUGACAGACGAACAAUACUGUUUAAACCCGUCAUUGCCCCACCGAUGACAAGCUCCGGUAAGCUCCACCGGAGUUUUGUUCCCGUCCUCUAAACAAUGAGCAAAGCUCUCUUGAUACACUGCUUCGAUUGCCCAGAAAGCUGUCAUAAUCACUGAAUACUUCACCUCACUACUCAUCAGAGCUUCCAGAAACCUUGAAUAAACAAGAGAUUAGAAACUACUGGUGUCUCAUUUCAAAUUCGAGUUUGAGUCUAUUUUGUAAACAGAAAUAUAUAUAGAAAUCAAUACCUGCGAUAUUCUUCAUUAGCUUUUUGGGGCACAACGGUCGAGAAAUCAACAUCCCAUUUCGACCCUUCUCUUUUAAACCAUUCGAUUUCAUCGUUCAGCGACGCCAUACCACCAAGCACCACUUCCAUAUCGGAACUCUCGCCGGAUUCUUUGCCGGCUCUGAUCAAUACACUCGCUACGAACGGCACGAAUUCUCUCACGAACAGAUAGUCUUGUCCCUGGAACUCAAAAAAGUUUCAAAUUCACAGAUUUUUGCUUUGUUUUUCAUCAGUAAGCUACUAACUAUAACAGUACCAGCCAAGUUCUGAAGGACGAGAGAUCAACGGAUCCGUCGCGGAUCGAGACGACGAAGGCAUGACGUGUAGCCGCCGUGUAAACCGAACGGUGCUUAUCAAGCCACGUGUCGAUCGCCUCUCUCUUCUCCAUUGCAAUUGCUUCUUCUUGCUUCUUUCAAGAUUCUUCAUUCACCGAUUCAUAUUUGUCAACGUCAACCUUUUGACUUUUAUCGUAUAGUCUGUAACGUGCGCGUUUUAUUGGGCUUUAAAUUAAUGGCCCAAGGCCUAUUAAAGUCUUGCGACGAUGGUUAAAUGAUUCUUCUAAAUCGACGGCGUGUAAAGGUCCCUCGUAGAUUACGUGGGAAAUUAUGAACGGUUAAGAUGCGUGUGAUUGCUAAGUUUACUAUUCAGCAAUGGUCACGUCACGUAUCCAUAGUUAAAGAGUGUGACGUGGAUAAUAUUUUUCUAAUUAUAUUUUCUGUUUUGUAUAUCUCAGCGUAAUCACCUCCCCGAAGUUGUGUGUGAAAUUUUAUUAUUUUCCUGUUAGACGGAGAAUUUGCUUUUCCGGCAAGAUCUGUUGGGAAUAAGAAGAUGGCGGAUGAGAAGUAUAACCGGAAAAAUCCGGCGGUGAAGAGGAUUCUGCAGGAGGUUAAGGAGAUGCAAGCAAAUCCUUCUGAUGAUUUUAUGUCUCUUCCUCUUGAGGUAACAUUUUCGAUACUCACCUGAUCUCCGGUUUAAGCUUUUGAGAUCGGAGAUUUUGAUUGAAUUUAAAUUCUUAUUCUGGAGAGAGAGAGAAAGUCCCCUCUCUUCUUUCAGUCUCCGUUGUGUGUCUUCUUCUAUUCGGGAUUGAACAUCUGCUCUACCUGUUCUGUAGCUAGAAUUAACUUCUAUGUCUUGUUAAUGUUCCGGUUUCGUAUUUCGAUUUCUGUUUCUAUAGAUCUAAGUAUGGUGUUUCAUGCUGUGUUGAUUCGUAUAAUUGUGUAUCUGUCAAGAGUGAUGGUGUUUGAUUUAGGCGACCAUGAUCAGGGAAGAUUAAAUAUUGAUAUCCUCAUGUGUUUUCACUGAAUUUACUAAGUCUCUUGUAUUGGGUAUUCGUGUUCUACUGCAGCUUUCAUGCCAGUUCUUUUGUUUCACAAUCCCUUAGAUUCUUACAACUGUUGGAGGUUGUCCGACAUGGAAUGGUCGAAAUAGAUUCCGCGCAAUGUUAUAAUUGUCUUUACAAGUUUUUAUUGUGAUACCAAAUCGUUUAAAAUGAUUCCUCUAUCUGUCGUAACAUCAGGAGAAUAUAUUCGAAUGGCAAUUUGCCAUCCGUGGUCCUGGUGAUACUGAAUUUGAAGGGGGCAUUUAUCAUGGAAGAAUUCAGCUGCCUGCAGAUUACCCUUUCAAACCUCCUUCAUUCAUGUUAUUGACUGUAAGGAUCUUACUCUUCUUUCACAACACAUAUUGCAAGGGAAAAGGGAGAGUCUUUAUUUCUUGAAUCUCUCUACUUCUGUUUCAGCCUAAUGGUCGGUUUGAAACCAAUACCAAGAUUUGCUUGAGCAUUUCAAAUUACCACCCCGAGCAUUGGCAACCUUCUUGGAGUGGUAAGCUCAUGAAAGUUUAUAUAUUAUUUCAUUGAUCCUUACACCAGCAACAUGUCACUAGAGACCUUAUUUCUUAACUGUUACUUCUUUUUUAGUACAAGACCACGUAACACUUGUAAUUUACACGAGGUUGAACUAUAUAUCAUAUCUUUGCUCUUAUAAUUUAGCUUUUCAUCUUUGCAGUUCGGACUGCUUUGGUGGCUCUCAUUGCUUUCAUGCCCACAAGUCCCAAUGGAGCACUGGGCUCGGUAGAUUAUCCAAAGGAGGAGAGGCGUACACUAGCCAUCAAAUCACGUGAGGCACCACCCAAGUAUGGCUCUCCUGAACGGCAAAAAAUUAUUGAUGAGGUAUAGUUACUCAGUCCCCAUUGAAACACCCUUAAGUGUUUUGUUUAUGCAUAUUCUGGUUAAAUUAAUAUGAAUUUGGCUAUAUGUUUGUAGAACCUGUCGAAUUUGGCUAUAUUUCGCCAUUGUAAACCUUAGAAAUAGCUGUUGGUAAAAAUUUAAGCUUGCAUAUUCUAGCGAUUAAGGUCUAGUGUUUGCUCAAAGAGUAUCUAUCUGCUUACAUUUUACAGCAUCACAGCUGCUAUUGUCUGCAUACAAUAAAAUUUGCUGCUAAACUACUUUAUUAAAGGAGUAGCACCAUUUUACCGAUUACUAUCCUUUUUAGACAAAGGGUUAGCGAUCUCCUUUUGGUUUAAACUCUUGACCCUUUCUUCAUGUAUUUUGUUUGAUAUGACUUAAGUUUCCUUUGUAUGAUUCAUCUUCAGUUUUAGAAAACAACUUAACUAAUCAUGUUCGUUUAAUAAGCGCAGAUUCAUCACUACAUCCUUGACAAAGCAACCGCGGUUCACAAAGCUGUUCCUCUGGAAUGUAACCAAACACAGUCGACUGAAUCAGUAGCUCAGUCCCAAACUGAGCCACAGGAAGCCAUAACAGUAGUGGAGGAGCGGUCCAUCUCUACAACAGACGCUAUAGUUGAUGAUCAAAUCAUAGAAGAGACAACUGAAGCAGUCAAUGCAGCUGCAGCAGCUAAUGUGGUCCCUGCAGCAUCAACAGCGGUUGAAGUUGAAGAUAAAGUUUCUGUAAGUGGUGAGCAAACAACGAUGGCCAGAAGAGCGGCUCAGAAGCCAGUCGAUGACAGACUUUUCACGUGGGCGGCGGUUGGGCUCACAAUCGCAAUCGUGGUUCUUCUCCUUAAGAAGUUCAUAAGAUCAAGUGGUUAUGGUGCUGGGUUUAUGGAUCAGUCUUGAAGUCUAAUGAAUAUCGUCGAUCCUAAAGGUUAAAAGUCAAAGUUGAUCGAUGGAUGGAAAACAUGAAAAGUCAAUCCUGCUUAUGGGAAAAGGGGGUUGUGGUGUUUAAUGUAUAAAUAUGAUUAAAGUGCAUAACAUUAUUGGGUAAAUAAUUAUGUGUGAAAUUGUCUUGCAGUUUAGUUGAUAGAUUCGAUUAUCACACUUGUGACAACAAAGUUAACAACAAUAUGUGUUUUGGAUUUGGAUACUGACUAUUUUUUUUAUUAAUACAGCAAGCUUUUUAUUAUUGAAAUCAGAUUAUUUAAUGUGUUCAUAACUAUUUAUAGUGUUUGAAAUCGAACAAUUUAUGAUGUAAUGUAUUCAGUCUAUUUGUGUUUGUCUUCCUUUAUUUUUUUUUUGAACAAUACUGUAAUAUGGUGUGAUUCAGAUUCACAAUGUGUGAUCUCAUCGUGUACCUUAGUUUUCACUUUUCUGUUUAGAAAAAAGACUUUCAACUUUUGACCUUUGACUGUUAUAAAUGUUUAUUAAAAAAAAAAAGUUAUUAAACCAAGGCUCAAAUGUAAUGAAUGUAGUUGAUAGUAAUAAUACUAAAAAUAAAUUAUGUUUAUGAAAAUUUGAUAUUAUGGGUACUGUGACAGUACUACUGUGGCAAAACAAGACACAAAAGAAGCAAGUUUAAAGUCUACGUCCUUUCCCCCCAGAGAUGAUCAGGUACUAAAACUAGCAAAGACACUCUGCUUUUGCGUGUCUGUGAAGCCAGUUCUUACUUGUCUCUUCUUUCUAUAACCAUUUUAAAAAAAUAUAUAACAUAAACAAACAAUCACUUGGGCAAUACAUGAAUGCUUUUUCACAAUUAAAAACUCUGUUUGAAUAAAUGAAAACAAUGCAAAAUAGACAUGGAUACUCAUCACUUUAACCACUUCUAAUGUUUGAGAGCGAGAGAUAGAAGAAAGUGAGUGAGAGAAAGAGAAAGAGAGAGAGAGAGUGAGAGAGAAAGAAAUAGAAAGUGAAGAGGUUUUUGAGUGAGAUAGAAGAAGAAGCUUUUCAAGGAGAGAUGGGUUGGAACACUGGUUUUGAACGGAUUAAACAAGAACGCAAGGACUUGGGUUUCUUCAAGAUUUUUCAGAGUGCAGAUUUGUCCUCUGAGAGCAUGGUAACUUUGUCCUGAAAACCUCAUACCAUGCUCUAAAAUGAGUAACUUUGUUCUUGAUAGGAAUCUUUUUGUUCGUUUUCUUAGGUUUUUUUUCUUCUUUGCUUCAAAAGGUUGAAUCUGUUUAUUCUCUAGAUCUCUACAUUUUCUGUGUUUGAAACGUUAAAUCUGUUGGUUCUUUGGUGUUUAAUGGACCACGACUGUUGAAUCUUUGGGUUCAGUGUUUGAAAACUUAAAUCUUGUUUUAAAGUAGUGAGAUCUUUUUGGGUUCUCUUGGUUUGAAAGGUUGGAUCUGUUUAGUCUCUGAAUAUUUACGUUCUUUUUGUUUUUAAAACGUUGAAUCUGUUGUUUAGUGGGUCUCGACGUUCUAUCUUUAGGCUCACUGUGCUUGAAUCUUGUUAUCUUUUGGUCGUCUUUGUUUCAUGAAAAGUUGAAUCUUUCUACUGCUUUACGUUAAAGAAGUUUCUUUUGUUUCACCUCUGCUCUCAAAAAUAUGAAAGUUGUUGCUCCUCUGUCUGUAUGCUCAGAUCUAUCUUCUUUGCUUUUCUCGACUUCUUGAUGCAAAUUUUGUUUUGUGAUAAGACUGAAAGAGUGAAACUUUGGCUUUAAAUUGUUUAUGUAAUUUGACAAGUAAAAGUGUAAAUGUUUUUAACACUCAGUCAUUUGUAUGGUGAAAACAGAGAGCGUUUCCAUACAACUUCAUGAGCAGGAUCCCUGAGAAAGACUUAUCUUACAAGAUGGUGAUAAGAGCGCAAUGGGGAAAGUCUUGGGAUGUAGAAGUCUCCAAGAAUACGAGAUAUUACUACAUCGAGAAGCCUGGAUGGGAUCAGUUUGUGAGUGACAACGCUUUGGGAAGAAACGAGUUUGUCACUUUCAUUCACAAAGGGAAGAUGAUCUUUAAUGUCUACAUCUACGAGCAGAAUUGCAUGGAGAUCCUAAUACCUCGAAUACUCAUGCCUAUGGAUUGUUCUGGUAAGCUUUUGUGAUUGUAAUGCUUUAUAAAACAGAGAAGUUGAAUAAUAAGAAGAAGAAGACUAAAUCUUUUACUUUGAUGAUGAAAACAGGUGGGAUCAAGAGAGAAGAAGAAGAGUGCAGCUACAAAGAUGUGAAGAAAGAAUAUGAGGAAACAGAUGAAUCUCCUGAACGAGUUGAGAUCAAAAUUAGAAAGAAGAUAUCUGAAGAGAGCAAAACAUCUAAGAAGAAGAAGACGAGCAAGAGAGUGAAGAAUGGUAUGGAAAGAGGUGGAUCUUCGAGAGGGGUUGAGCUCAAAGCUAGGCAGAAGAAAGCUGAGGCUUACAAUACAUCAAAGAAGAUGAAGAAGAAGAUCAAGAGAAAUAAGAAAAUGACUGGUGCUCCAGAAUUCAAAAUCACCAUAAGGAAUUCAUACCUCAAGUUCCUGGUAAGAGUUCAAAACAAAGACUUGACAGAACAAUAUACACACAGUUUCUGUAUUUGAUGUGAAUCUCUGAUUUUCUUUUUUCAGGCAAUCCCAAAACAUUUUGUGGAUGAUCAUCUUCCGCAGAAGUCUAAGUUCUUCACUAUUCACCACCCGGAUGGUCUCAAGUCAUGGAAGGUGCUUUGUUUGGUGAGGGAGAUUCGGACAAUCUUCUCAGGUGGAUACUCGAAACUGGCAAGGGAGUAUCCUUUAUUGGUUGGUGACAAAUGCACCUUCAAGCUUAUUGAACCCUAUGCGUUUAUCCUAGAUAUCUCCAAGAAAACUAGAGAGGAGAUCACUCACUGCAUGAUCGAUUGAGACGGAUGAAUGUCAAGUGUCUCAUUGCUUUCUUAUCUAUGGAGACAGUUAGAUCAGUUUAUGUCUUUAUGACGGUUAAGUUAUUGUGUUCUGGUUUGUAUGCUUAUUACAUUUUCUGGUUGAAUUACAAUGUGAUAAAUUCGUCUUAGGACUAUAUAUUAUGCAAAUCUAUCAAUCUUAUGCUUCAGUCGUUUCCUUCAGCAGAGACAAGUGUUCGUCCUUAACUUGUAAACUAAUGUUGUCACUGAUCAAGUGUGCUUCCUCUUCUCUUAUAUCUGAUUGAAUUAUAAUGAUAAAAACACAUUUGGCAUGAUUGAAGUUGGUUCAAAACUCAAAAGAGUCUGUCUGUAUUUAUUAGAAGAUGAAAGCGUUUUUUUACCCAUACAGAUGAACAUUACACCGGUCACACACAAGAGUUAUACAAAUUCCGACCAUGA
rnacentral:lncRNA from 1 species